rnacentral:lncRNA from 1 species
UUUAGAUCCAUCAGAGAAGUGAGGUCACACGGCAACCCACUGCCCCCCAAAUUGGAGAGACAGACAACAAAAAUACAAAGAAUCACAGCUUACUGGAGCAGAAACCCACAAACAGAAGCCUCUGCAGGAAUCAGUGCUAAGGUCUGAACACCUGUAGGUGGUCAUCACUUGGACAGCUCACAGCAAGGCAGCAGGUUCUGAAAGCAAGCACCGUGCGAGCAAACGUUCUAAGAGACCAAGGCGGAAGCUGCUUUACUUCAUAAGCUUCCCAAACUAGCCUAUGAAAAUCCCAGAAUCUCACUUUCACUGCCUUCUAUUGGUCAAACAAGUCACUAAGGGAAGAAAAUUAAGCUCUGUCUCUCAAUAGGAAGAGUGGCAAAAAAUUGUUGGUCGUCUUUAAUUUGCCACAGCCUGCACACUUGCCACAAAUUAUUUACUUUCCUCCCACAUUCAAAAUAGACUCGGCCCCUCCCAAGAGCCUGAGAAUCUCAUCCCUUUGCCACAUCAUGUUAAUGUCCACGAUCUUAUCAUCUAAAUGAGGUCCAGGUAAAAAUGAGUUUUCUCAGAUGCAGUUCCCUGUGUACGGUUCCUCUCAAUCUGAAGACCUGAGAAUGUAAGCGACAAGUUUAUCCACCCCCCAACACACACGUGCCUAACAUAAUGGUGAUAUAGACAUGGAAUAACUAUAAUAGACACUCCCAAUUCUCAGGACAGGGAGGAGGGCAGGAAGCACAGAGCUAUGUUUUUUUUUCAUUCUUUUGCUGCUAAUUCUCCACUGAUAAAUAUACCACAAUUCAUCUAUUAUAUUAAUAUUAUUCAUAGGUAUUUAGAUAAUUCCCAGUCUGGUAUUUUACAAAUAGUAGUGACAUAAACAUUCUAGUACAUGACUUUGGAGAGUAUACAUACAUAUUUUGGUUGAAUAUAGAAGUAGAAUUCUGGGGUCCCAGUUUCUGCAUAUGUUCAGCAUUAGUUUUUCAGAGUGAUUUUUCACACAGUGGUAAGAAAUAACACAAAAAUACUAAGUAUAAGAAAGCUGGAGUGUCUAUGUUAAAAUUAGACAAUAUAGACUUCAAGACAAAGAGUACUACCAGAGAUAAAGGAAGAUGUUUCAUAAUAAUAAUAUGAUCGACUCAUCCUGAAGAUACAAUAAUAAAUGUGGUUGCAUCUUAUGAAAGAGUUUCAAAACACAUGCAUCAAAAACUAAAAGAAUUAAAGGGAGAAAUGGGAAAUUACACAAUUAUAUCUAGAUAUUUUAACAUUUUUUCCCAAAAGCUGGUAGAACAAGUAGAUAGAAUGAUUAAUCAAUAUAUAAAAUAUUUGAAUAAUACUUUCUUUACCUAAUUGAUACUUACGGAAUACCAUAAACAACCACUUAUAAAAUGCACAUUCUUUCAAAUCAUAUGGUCAACUCACCAACAUAAACCAUAGAGAGGGCCAUAAAAUAAAUGUUAAUAAAUUAAAAGGAUUGUAAUCAUACAUAAUAUUAUAUCCAACUAAGAUGAAAUUAUAAAUCAAUAACACCAAUAAAUUUAAAAAUCAAGAUAUUUGAAAAUUAAGCAAUACAAAUAGAAAGUCUAUGAGUCAAAGAAUAAAUUUAAGGGACAUUAGAAAAUAUUUUGAGAUGAAUUAUAUUAAAAAUGUAACACCAAAAUGUUGGAAACGCAGCUAAAGUUGUGCUUAGAGGGAAAUUUAUUGCUUUAAAUGCUUGAAUUAAGGAAAAAAGGUCUACAGUUAAUAACAAUGUUCUAAAUUUAAAAGCUAGAAGAAAAAAAGCAAAGUAAACCCUAAGAAAGUAAAAAGAAAGAAAUAAAAACAAUGAAAUAAAAAACAAACACUAGAGAAAGGUAACAAAGCCAAAGUUGGCCUUUUGAAGAAAAUGAACAAAAUUGAUUAACCCCUAGCCAGAUGGAUCAAGAGAAAAGAAAGAGAAAGCAAGGUUGUCCAUACAGGUUUCACAGGCAUCACAAGGAUAAGAAGAGGAUAUUUUGCUUUGGGAGGCCGAGGAGGGCAGAUCCCUGAGGUCAGAAGUUCGAGACCAGUCUGACUAACAUGGAGAAACCCUGUCUUUACUAAAAAUACAAAAUUAGCCAGGCAUAGUGGCACAUGCCUGUAAUCCCAGCUACUAGGGAGGGUGAGGCAGAAGAAUCACUUGAACCUGGGAGGCGGAGGGUGCGGUGAGCUGAGAUUGUGCCAUUGCACUCCAGCCUUGGCAACAAGAGUGAAACUCCAUCUCAAAAAAAAAAAAAAAAAAAAAAGAAAAAAGAGGCUAUUUUGAAAAAUAUGUUUACUAACAAAUUUGAUAACAAAAUUCUUGAAAAAUAGAGCUUUUAAAACCUAGUGCAGAUAUUGUAAUUUGAGACAGAAAGCUGAAUAUUCCUAUAUUUAUUAACGAAAUCAAUAUCAACAACUAACCACAAAGAAAAAUUCAAGGUUAGAUGGUUUCACUGUUUAAUUCCCUCAUCAUUUAAAAAAAAUUAAAUUUAAAAAAAUUUUAAUCUAAGUAAAAUUUUAAUUUAUUCAUUAUUUUUAAUUGACAACUUUAUAUAUUUAUGAGCUACAAUGUAAUGUUUUGAUCUAUGCAUACAUUGUAGAAAGAUUCCAUUUAAUCUUACACAAAUUCUACAGACAGUAAACAAAAAGGAAAUAGCUGCCACCUCAUUUUAUGAGGCUAACAAAAGUUGAAAAAAGAAAAUUAUGAUUAUGAUAACCAAAAUCGGUACCAGUUACCUGUGGUUGUGUAACAAACCACUCCAAAACUUAAUGGCUUUAAAUAACAACUGCAUUUAUUUUACUCACUUUCAGUUUGGGCAGAACUGGUUUGGAUACCUCAUCUCUACUCCAUGUGAUGUCUCCUCGACGGCUAAGAGGAUGGAGACUGAACCAUCUGUUCUCUUGUUUAAUCAGAUCUCUGGUUGUUGAUGUUGAGUGUUAGACCUUAUGGGUAGGAAGUUAGCUGGGACAGUCAACUAGAAUACUUUCCCAUGGCCUCUCCCUGUAGCCUAGGCCUUCUCACAACAUGACAACUGGGUUCCAAUGGCAAGUUUCCAGGUACUCAACAUCAUCAGUCAUCAGAACAAUGCAAAUUAAAACUACAGUGUAAUAUUACAAUUUACCUCCUAAAAUAAAAAGACUGGCAAUACCAAGUGCUAACAAGAAUAUGAGCAUCUGGGCCAGGCACAGUGGCUCACGCCUCUAAUCUCAGCACUUUGGGAGGCUGAGACAGGCAGAUCACUUGAGCACAGGAGUUCAAGACCAGCCUGGGCAACAUGGCAAAACCCCAUCUCUACAAAAAAUACAAAAAUUAGCUGGGCGUGGUAGCACAUGCCUAUGGUCCCAGCUACUUGGGAGACUGAAUUGGGAAGGUUGCUUGAGCCCAGAAGGUCGAGGCUGCAGUAAGCUGAGAUCAUUGCACCACUGCACUCCAGCCUGGGUGACAGAACAAGACCCUGUCUAAACAAUAACAAAAAUAUGAGCAACGGAAUCCCCAUAUAGUGCUGGUAGAAAUGUAAAGUGGCACAACUGCUUUGGAAAAUGAAUUUUUUUACAAUACUGAACAUACAGUUAUCAUAUGAAAUAUGUCCACCCAAAAGUUUGUACAUAGGUAUUUAUAGCUCAAUUAUUCAUAAUGAUCAGAAAUAGUUACAGCCAAAAUGCUCAUCAGCUAUAAAAGGCAUAAACAAAUUGUGGUAUACAAUAGAAUACUACUGGGUAAUGAAAACAUACGUUACUGACAUACACCACAACGUGGAUAAAUCUCAAACACUUUGUUGAGCCAAAGAAACCAGACAUAAGUGUGCAUACUGUAAGAUUCUAUUAAUUUGACUCUGGGAAAAGCAAACUUAAUCUACAAUGACAGAAUUCAGAUGGCUGGCCGCAUGGGACUUGGAGUGAAGUCCGUAUCUUGACUGUGGUAGUUUGCACAGGUAUAUAAAGUUGUCAAAACUUCUUAAAAUGUGCACCUAAAAUAGGUACAUUUUAUGUAAAUAAUACCCCAAUAAAGUUGAUUUUAAAAUAAAGUAGAAUGAAGGAUGAAUAAAUGGAUGUGUGGAAGCAAGUAUAAUAAAGUUUUAAAGGUUAAAUCUAGGUGGGCGGUAUAGGAAUGUUUACUGUAAAAUUCUUUCACCUUGCUGUGUAUUUUUAAAAUUUUCUAAUACAAUGUUGGGAAAGAAGACUGAAACUACUAGUUCUGUUGAAAAUACAGGGCAACUGGAACUCUCAAUGAUUUGGAUGAGAGUAUGCAUUUAUAUAAAUAUUUUGGAAAACAGUUUGUCUACAUCUACUAAAGCUAAAUAUUACUUACCCUAUUGCCCAGAAAUAUUACUGCUAUUCUAGGUGUACACUCUAAGCGAAAUGUCCCACAAAAUGUUUGAGCAUAUUUCUGUCAGCUUUACUCAUAAUAGCCAAAAUAUUGGAAGCAAUCCAUUUGCCCACCAUUAUUCAACAGAGAAUUGAAUAAACUAUGGGUUAUUUGUAUAAUAAAAUGUUACACAGCAAUAAAAAGAACAAACUUCUGGUAUAUGCAACAAACAUGAUUGAGUCUGACAGAUGUAAUGUUGAGCUAAAGAAGCCAAAUACAAGAGUUCUGCAGUGUAAUUCCUUUUACCUGAACUUCAAAAACAGACAAAACUAAUCUUAUAGUGAUAUGAAUCACAAAGCAAUUACCUCUGAGAGGACAGUGCCUCAGAAGGGGCAAGAGGGAGUGUUCUGGCUUUAUGGAAGUGUUAUGUAUAUUGAUCUGUGGGGUGUUUACAUUGGUGUAUACAUAUGAAAAAAUUAUUGAGCUGUGCUCUUCAGAUUCAUGGACUUUGCUGAUAUAUGCCGUAACCAAAUAACAUUUGUGGAAACUGAUGGGAAGCUCUGUGCUUGUAGAUGGAGCUGUCUUCUUUGAGUUUCACCACAGGGUGAUCUGGCUGGGAAGCACAAUUUGGGGAAGAAACCCCUCAAUGUCAGUAUCUUUAGUUCUUUUCUCUUGGGCUAGCCAAACUCCAAGAAAAUUCUUUUAAUAUUCUGUAUUUAAGGUGGAGGCUUGGCAGCUUAAUGUAGAUAAAGGGCUGUGCAUUUCAGCAUUCAGCAUUUGGUAUGCAUACGUUGUUAUGUAAUUCUCUUAUUUUUGAUAUGAUUCACUAAUCUUAGCUGUAUAUGGCCACCCCAAGACCCAAACUUAUUCAGAAAGUAAAUCUCCCAACUUCCGUUGGGAUAGGAGAGGGACAAUAUUUGAGCAGUGUGCAGUGAAAAGGGGGAAAUUAGGGAUCCAAAUUCUUCUGAAAUAGCUAUCAUCUCUUUCUUCUUAGUUUAUUUCCCUUUCACUCUCAAGUCGAGAGGCACCAAAGGAUGCCGGUUUCUGGGCCUUUUGAGGAUUUUUUGGUGUUGAUCAGAUUGUUUCCUCUAUUUUAUCUACUGCCAGCUUAGGAUUUAGUUUUCAUGCAUCUGCUAACUCAGUGAACUGUCAAAGAAAAAUUGCCCUGCACAGAGUUGAACAGGCAAGGAAGACUUUAUUUAACAUGAUUUCCGUAGGAGUCAAGAUUACUGUAAUAGGGGAGACAGAGUAAACUCAACUCUGCUGAAUCAAAAGGCAGGAGGACUUUUAAGAGCUGGGGUGAGCUAGUAGAAAACUACUGGAGGGUGUUAGCAGGGAGGUUGGUCAAUGUGAUUAGGCCAUCUGUGUUUGCUUUCCAUAGGCAACUUCAGCAAAGUCUCAGGAUACAAAAUCAAUGUGCA